rnacentral:rRNA from 1 species
GAGACACGGUCCAGACUCCUACGGGAGGCAGCAGUGAGGAAUAUUGGACAAUGGAGGCAACUCUGAUCCAGCCAUGCCGCGUGCAGGAAGACUGCCCUAUGGGUUGUAAACUGCUUUUAUAUGGGAAGAAUAAGUAGUACGUGUACUACGAUGACGGUACCAUACGAAUAAGCACCGGCUAACUCCGUGCCAGCAGCCGCGGUAAUACGGAGGGUGCGAGCGUUAAUCGGAAUUACUGGGCGUAAAGCGCACGCAGGCGGUUU